rnacentral:misc_RNA from 1 species
UCCGGUUUGUCACCGGCAGUCCCAUUAGAGUGCCCUUUCGUAGCAACUAAUGGCAAGGGUUGCGCUCGUUGCGGGACUUAACCCAACAUCUCACGACACGAGCUGACGACAGCCAUGCAGCACCUGUGUUACGGCUCUCUUUCGAGCACAAUCGCGUCUCUGCGAUCUUCCGUACAUGUCAAAGGUGGGUAAGGUUUUUCGCGUUGCAUCGAAUUAAACCACAUCAUCCACCGCUUGUGCGGGUCCCCGUCAAUUCCUUUGAGUUUUAACCUUGCGGCCGUACUCCCCAGGCGGUCAACUUCACGCGUUAGCUUCGUUACUGAGGAAGUAAAUCCCCAACAACCAGUUGACAUCGUUUAGGGCGUGGACUAC